UUAAAUUGAAGAGUUUGAUCAUGGCUCAGAUUGAACGCUGGCGGCAGGCCUAACACAUGCAAGUCGAACGGUAACAGGAAGCAGCUUGCUGCUUUGCUGACGAGUGGCGGACGGGUGAGUAAUGUCUGGGAAACUGCCUGAUGGAGGGGGAUAACUACUGGAAACGGUGGCUAAUACCGCAUAACGUCGCAAGACCAAAGAGGGGGACCUUCGGGCCUCUUGCCAUCAGAUGUGCCCAGAUGGGAUUAGCUUGUUGGUGAGGUAACGGCUCACCAAGGCGACGAUCCCUAGCUGGUCUGAGAGGAUGACCAGCCACACUGGAACUGAGACACGGUCCAGACUCCUACGGGAGGCAGCAGUGGGGAAUAUUGCACAAUGGGCGCAAGCCUGAUGCAGCCAUGCCGCGUGUAUGAAGAAGGCCUUCGGGUUGUAAAGUACUUUCAGCGGGGAGGAAGGUGUUGUGGUUAAUAACCACAGCAAUUGACGUUACCCGCAGAAGAAGCACCGGCUAACUCCGUGCCAGCAGCCGCGGUAAUACGGAGGGUGCAAGCGUUAAUCGGAAUUACUGGGCGUAAAGCGCACGCAGGCGGUCUGUCAAGUCGGAUGUGAAAUCCCCGGGCUCAACCUGGGAACUGCAUUCGAAACUGGCAGGCUUGAGUCUUGUAGAGGGGGGUAGAAUUCCAGGUGUAGCGGUGAAAUGCGUAGAGAUCUGGAGGAAUACCGGUGGCGAAGGCGGCCCCCUGGACAAAGACUGACGCUCAGGUGCGAAAGCGUGGGGAGCAAACAGGAUUAGAUACCCUGGUAGUCCAUGCCGUAAACGAUGUCUACUUGGAGGUUGUGCCCUUGAGGCGUGGCUUCCGGAGCUAACGCGUUAAGUAGACCGCCUGGGGAGUACGGCCGCAAGGUUAAAACUCAAAUGAAUUGACGGGGGCCCGCACAAGCGGUGGAGCAUGUGGUUUAAUUCGAUGCAACGCGAAGAACCUUACCUGGUCUUGACAUCCACAGAACUUUCCAGAGAUGGAUUGGUGCCUUCGGGAACUGUGAGACAGGUGCUGCAUGGCUGUCGUCAGCUCGUGUUGUGAAAUGUUGGGUUAAGUCCCGCAACGAGCGCAACCCUUAUCCUUUGUUGCCAGCGAUUAGGUCGGGAACUCAAAGGAGACUGCCAGUGAUAAACUGGAGGAAGGUGGGGAUGACGUCAAGUCAUCAUGGCCCUUACGACCAGGGCUACACACGUGCUACAAUGGCGCAUACAAAGAGAAGCGACCUCGCGAGAGCAAGCGGACCUCAUAAAGUGCGUCGUAGUCCGGAUUGGAGUCUGCAACUCGACUCCAUGAAGUCGGAAUCGCUAGUAAUCGUGGAUCAGAAUGCCACGGUGAAUACGUUCCCGGGCCUUGUACACACCGCCCGUCACACCAUGGGAGUGGGUUGCAAAAGAAGUAGGUAGCUUAACCUUCGGGAGGGCGCUUACCACUUUGUGAUUCAUGACUGGGGUGAAGUCGUAACAAGGUAACCGUAGGGGAACCUGCGGUUGGAUCACCUCCUUACCUGAAAGAAGC
rnacentral:rRNA from 1 species